UGCAAUGUUAGAGGCCACGCAUGCUG
rnacentral:piRNA from 1 species